UUCUGAAUAGUGUCAAUGGGUGUGAAUCUAGUGCUUUCACAUGAAUAUUCAAUUGUGACUAGAUCCACACUCAUUAAUGUUGUUUGGAA
rfam:Anopheles christyi strain ACHKN1017 cont1.469, whole genome shotgun sequence.